GAUGAACGCUGGCGGCGUGCCUAACACAUGCAAGUCGAACGAAGCACCUUACCUGAUUCUUCGGAUGAAAGUUUGGUGACUGAGUGGCGGACGGGUGAGUAACGCGUGGGUAACCUGCCCUGUACAGGGGGAUAACAGCUGGAAACGGCUGCUAAUACCGCAUAAGCGCACGAGGAGACAUCUCCUUGUGUGAAAAACUCCGGUGGUACAGGAUGGGCCCGCGUCUGAUUAGCUGGUUGGCAGGGUAACGGCCUACCAAGGCAACGAUCAGUAGCCGGUAUGAGAGGAUGAACGGCCACAUUGGAACUGAGACACGGUCCAAACUCCUACGGGAGGCAGCAGUGGGGAAUAUUGCACAAUGGGGGAAACCCUGAUGCAGCAACGCCGCGUGAGUGAAGAAGUAUUUCGGUAUGUAAAGCUCUAUCAGCAGGGAAGAUAAUGACGGUACCUGACGAAGAAGCUCCGGCUAAAUACGUG
rnacentral:rRNA from 1 species